AAUUUUGUUGAACUGGUCACUGCACGACCAACUUCUUUUGCACCUCAUAAUUUUGUUCAACAUCAUAAUAUGUGUUUUACCUGGCCGGCUUCAUAAUUUUGUUUCUUAUAUAUGCAGGUUCAUGGUUCUGAAGUUAAUUCCUUUCAGCUUCAAACUGAAAUAAUUCCUCUCUGUUCCCGCACCAUGGAGACGGGCACUAAACUUUCAAAAACAAUAUGAAGUUAACCCUUUCUGUACAUCCGAUGACCCUAUUGUUCUGGUAAAUGUUUUCAUUAUUGCCUAAUUGUGCAAGUGAUUGACACUUUCUGGUUGUGCUAAAUUUCAGUCCUAUAAAUUUUCUUUGAGUAUGUUAAAAAGAUGGAGCCAUAUCUCACUGGGAUUUGUGCAGUAAACUGUUUUUCUUUUCCAUUCUUGCAAAUGAGGCACAUGAUAGAUCACAUCUAUGUAGAGUAUUGGAGAUCCAUGCCCCAUGUUGUUGUCCAGAAUUGAAACAUUUAACAAUACCAGUUCACCAAAUAUUGCCCCGAGGAUUACAGGCAAGCAGUACCAAUCUGGAUGAUUGGUACAGGCAGGCUACCCUUAUGCUUGACGAGGAAUCUGCAACGUAAUGGAACAAGUAAAUAUUAAAGGUGUUGCAGUUUAGGUGGCAUUUUUUUUACAAAGGGCGGAGCGAGUUUCUUUCUUCUUUUUCCCGAUGAGCAUGUUGACCCUUGUGGACAAUUGUACAUGGCACCUUCCUGAUGUAUGAGUUCAUUUAAGGUUAUAUUCUUUUUGUACUCAUGUUACUUGUGAUGAUAUUAUGGUCUUGAUAAUGUGCAAUUUACCCUAUGCUUCCAGAUGCAUUUGCUUAAUUAAUCAAAAGGGAUGAUGUGUUUUGUGUUA
rnacentral:lncRNA from 1 species